rnacentral:lncRNA from 1 species
CUAGAAUGAGAAUGCACAGCAAGCGGCAGACAAUCACCCGGCAUUCGGCAUCUCUUUCUUUUCACGCGCUCCCUCGCUCCGCCUUUCUCCAGCUCUGCCUUCUCAGGCAGAUACAUCAGAUACCUUGUUUAUCCAUCUUCAGCUCCACUCUGAGGGCGCAGACGCACGAUUCCGGGAUCGGGUGCACCACGGCGAAGCCCAGGCGGGAGACGGCAGGAGCAGCUCAGAUGAAGAAACUGAAACCCACAGAGAUGAAGUAACAUCCUCAAGAUCAAAAGGUAACAAACGAUUGAGGCAGGAUUUGGAUAUUGCUCUACAUGACGGGAAAGCCUGUGCUCUUGGAAUUACAGUCAUAGUACAACAGAUCAAGUUCAAAGCAUCAUCUAAGUCAAGGAAAACCAGUAAAGAGGUUUGGAGAGACAAACAGGGUCAACUCCAGGCAUUUGGGUCAGCAGAAACGGCACGAUUGAGCAGCACUGUGACUAUAGGAUCAUGGAUCAGAGGCUGCUUCCUCUUUGGUUCUGGGCAUCAGCCUCAUGUCCACUCAAAGUAAGUGGCCCCUCUGAUUGGAAUCGGAGGUGCCUGGGUCAUCUCACAGAGCCAAACAAAUACAAUUAGCUAUUGCAAAGCCUUUUGGGAAUUAUUCCCAGUGUAAAUAAACACAUAACCAUAUAGCAAGAGCCUUGAUAAAGUCCAAAAACAUGCAAACUUGGAGUAUCUAAGAGAAAAGACCACAAUGUAAAUGAAAAACCAAAUAAACUCGGGCAAACCAUAGGAUAGGGCCCUGUCUGUGAUGGCCUGCAUAUGAUGAGCCAUAGAAAAAGGAUGGUGAAUUCUGGAUAAUAAGAAAUGUCAAUGAGAUGCAAGAACCACCUGUUUUAUGUAAAGCUCCAAAUAACCAGAUCACAGUGGACAGCCACUCAAAUAAUGCCUUCAUAAUACAGAGUAUUAUUGAGAAUAACUCAGUUCACAGAGAGCUUAAGGCAGCCAAUAUUUGAUAGCCUGUCAGAAAAAAACAGAACAGUAAUUAUAGAAAAGAAUCAUAUCCUCGGAAAAACAAAAAUUAAUCAAACUAAGUUUGUAAAGUCUAUCUUACAGACACAUUGUCUGGACUGGUCCUCUCAAAAAUACUGUUUUUUUUUAAUGCCAAUUUGUUUAGUUAAUGAUUUUUGUCUUAUUACUUCAAAACUGGAAAUAUCCUAUGACUCAUAAUAUCUUACAACCUUUCUACUUUCUUAAAGAAUCUCAAGUUUAUAAUCACAGGGGAUCGGAUUAUUUUUCAAAAAUUAAAUGGUGAUGUAAUGAUUUCUGUGUCUAUUGUAGAAAAGUCAACCUUAUUACAGCUGCAACAAUGGCAUUAAGAAAUAUGAGUAAUUCCAAUCAACUUGAGAUAAUGUCUAAUCAAACACAAAUACAACUGGUAAAUUUCAUUAAAUAGCAUGGAGAUUAAAUUAAAACACUAUUAUGUAAUAAAAACCUUUAGUGGUACUAAAAUUUUAGAAUAGUUCAGAUAUACAGAAAAAUUUCAAAGAUACACAGAGUUCCCAUUUUUUUCCUAUUACUAACCUCUCAUAUUUGUCACAACUAAUGAAUAUUCAAUAGAGUAUUAUUAACUAAAGCCUAUACAUUUAUUUAGAUUUCCUUAGUUUUUAGCUAACAUUCUUUUUCUUUGUUCCAGGAUCCCAUCCGGGCCACCACAUUGAAUUUAUUUGUCAUUUUAGGUACCUCUUGGCUGUGAGUUUCUUAGACUUUCCUUGUUUUUGGUGACCCUGACAGUUUGAGGGAGUACUAGUCAGUCAGUUAUUUUUGCAGAAUGCCCUAAAUUUGAGUUUGGCUGAUGUUUUUCUUAGGGUUUGACUGGGGUUAUGGGUUUUGGGGAGGAAGACCACAGAGGUGAAGUACCAUUCUCACCAAAUUAUAUUAAAGGUACAUACCAUCAG